rnacentral:rRNA from 1 species
UGGGGAAUCUUGCGCAAUGGGCGAAAGCCUGACGCAGCGACGCCGCGUGCGGGAAGAAGGCCUUCGGGUUGUAAACCGCUUUCAGGAGGGACGAAGCCACUCGGGUUAAUAGCCCAGAGGGUGACGGUACCUCCAGAAGAAGCCCCGGCUAACUACGUGCCAGCAGCCGCGGUAAUACGUAGGGGGCAAGCGUUGUCCGGAUUCAUUGGGCGUAAAGAGCGUGUAGGCGGCCAGGUAGGUCGGUUGUGAAAACUGGAGGCUCGAACCUUCAGAGGUCGACCGAAACCAUCUGGCUAGAGUCCGGGAGAGGAGAGUGGAAUUCCUGGUGUAGCGGUGAAAUGCGCAGAUAUCGGGAAGAACACCCGUGGCGAAAGCGGCUCUCUGGAACGGUACUGACGCUGAGACGCGAAAGCGUGGGGAGCGGAACAGGAUUAGGAUACCCUGGUAGUCCACGCCGUAAACGAUGGGCACUAGGUGUGGGAGGUGUCGACUCCUUCCGGUGCCGAAGCUAACGCA